rnacentral:rRNA from 1 species
AAUGAACGUUGGCGGCGUGGAUUAGGCAUGCAAGUCGAGCGUGUACCCGCAAGGGGAAAGCGGCAAACGGGGUAGGAACGCGUAGGUCACGUACCCCUCGGCCGGGGAUAGCCACGGGAAACUGUGGGUAAUACCCGAUGACGCCGAGAGGCCAAAGGUGUGAUUCCGCCGGGGGAGCGGCCUGCGUAGUAUUAGCUAGUUGGUGAGGUAAUGGCUCACCAAGGCGAAGAUGCUUAGGGGGUGUGAGAGCAUGACCCCCACCACUGGGACUGAGAUACUGCCCAGACACCUACGGGUGGCUGCAGUCGAGAAUCUUCGGCAAUGGGGGCAACCCUGACCGAGCGACGCCGCGUGUGGGAUGAAGGCCCUUGGGUUGUAAACCACUGUCAGAAGGGAUGAAACGAUCAUGGGUUCUCCCAUGGUCCUGACAUAGCCUCAGAGGAAGCACGGGCUAAGUUCGUGCCAGCAGCCGCGGUAAUACGAACUGUGCAAACGUUNUUCGGAAUCACGU